GUUUCAUCAAACCUAUAGACUAAAACACACCGUUUUAUUAAAGCAAAUGGCUUCUGUAUUGGUUUUGCUCAAACGGUGUCAUAUUGAAGAUUCAAGAAUUAGUUGGUAUUGGCAGGCUUUUCAGUUAGGCAGAUUUGAUCAACCUUCUCCACCUUUUACGGAUCUAUUUCGUAUUUACAGGAGUUCUGUUUUAUUCAGUUAGGGAGGUCUACCUGUCUAAAUACUAUAUCUAGCAGCACAGUAUAAAUUAAGCAAGAUCAAAUACAAUUUCUCUUUGAUAUCUCUCUCUCUUUCUUUCUUUCCUUCUCUCUUGUAAUUGUUUGUUGCUCUUCAAUCUUGCUAAACAUUGUUAGAUUUUCUCUGUUAGAAUUUCUUCAUGGUGUCAGAGCCUUCGAUCUCUGCAAAUAUAGCUCAACCAUGGCAGCAUAAGCUCAGCUAUGGCUUCUUCCUCUACAGCUCCUUCAAGUUCCACUGUAAGUGUAAUGAAUCAACCUCUGCUGUUGUUAUCUAAUGUGGCUAACCUGGUGACUAUUAAGCUAGACAACACAAACUACAUAGUUUGGAAGCACCAGAUCACUAUGGUCUUAGAAACUUACUCGAUGUUUGAACUCUUGGAGGAACCUUAAUUGAUUCCAGAGAAGUAUCUUAAGGAUCUUUCUAGUUCGUUCACAGAAAUUCUGAAUCCAGAUUAUGUGAAUUGGAGGUCAAAAGAAAAGGCUUUGCUCACCUUUAUGAGUUCCACACUUUCUCCCCCUAUUUUGGCUUUAACAGUUGAGUGUACCACUGCAAUGGAGGUGUGGAAGGUUCUAGAGAAUAGGUUUUCAUCUAUUUCUAGGUCUCAUGUAAUGAAUCUCGAAGAAGAGUUGCAUAACAUUAAGAAAGGCACUGAUUCUAUGGACAUUUAUCUACAGAAAAUCAAAGUGGUUAGAGACAAGCUUUUAGCUGUUGGUGUAAUUGUUGAUGAUGAAGAAUUGCUUCAUAUAGCAAUCAAGGGGAUACCUAAGAACUAUAAUGCUUUUAGAUCUGCUAUAAAAUACUAGAAGCACUUAACUUAGCUUUGAUGAGCUUGCUACAAUGUUCAAUGCAAAAGAAGAGUACUUGAAUGAAGGUUUGGAAGUUAAAGAUCCUGUCUUUGCUAUGGCAGCUACUUUCAACUCAAGGCCAAACAACAAUAAUGGCUAUAAUCAGUCCUACAAUCAGUCUUACAACAAUAGAGGAAGGGGUAGAGGCAACUACAACAAUAGAGGAGCUCGAGGGGGAAGAAACUCUAACACUCCACAGAAUCAGUUCAAUCAGUUCUCACAAAAUCAGUUUUCUGGUACUAAAUCAAAGAGGCCAACUUGCAAAAUCUGUGGUAAACUUGGACAUUAGGCUAUUGAUUGCUAUCAUAGGAUGGACUAUGCUUAUCAUGGAAAGCAUCCACCUACAAAACUUGCUGCUAUGGCUACUGCCUCGAAUGCAUGUCUUGCUCGAGAACAACCUUGGCUUGCUGACAAUGCAGCCACAGAUCAUGUGACCUCAAGUCUUAAUCAUCUAAGCUUUCCUAAGCCCUACAAUGGUCAAGGUCAUCUCAUAGUUGGCAAUGGUCAAAAUCUGCCUAUCACUCAUGUUGGCUUUGGCCAAGGGGAAUGUUCUCUACCAGGGCAAGAGUGAAGGUGGUGUCUAUCCCAUCUAUAUAUCCUCACAAAGCUUCAAAGCUUUCCCUUACUUCCAAACUCUGCAACAAUGUUGCUUUGUCUUCUGUUUUCAAUAAAACUCUUUGGCACAUGAGACUAGGUCACCCACAUGAUCAAGUUCUUCAUGUUCUUUUUCCAAAGUUCAAAUAUGUAUCAAAUAAGUGUACUAAUUCUGAUUACUCUUGUACACAUUGCUUAUAUGGAAAAAUGCAUAAACUUCCUUUUCCCAAGUCUCAA